UUGGCGUCGAGAGGCGAUGAAAGACGUGGCAACCUGCGAUAAGCCCAAGGGAGCUGGUAAGCGAGCAUUGAUCUUGGGAUUUCUGAAUGGGGCAACCCACCCUUCGGGGUAUCUGCACCUGAAUGCAUAGGGUGCAGAAGCGAACCCAGGGAACUGAAACAUCUCAGUACCUGGAGGAAAGGAAAGCAACCGCGACUCCGUAAGUAGCGGCGAGCGAAAGCGGAUUAGGCGAAGUGAAUCGGCUGGAAAGCCGGACCAGAGAAGGUGAAAGUCCUGUAGCAAAGCCGCACAGUCUUCAAGUAGGUUCGGGCUCGUGAAACCCGGAUUGAAUGGGGGUCCACCCUCAAAGACUAAGUACUCCUCGACGACCGAUAGUGAAUCAGUAAGGUGACUGAAUGAUGACAAGCACCGCGAUGAGCGGGGUGAAAGAGUACCUGAAACCGUGUGCCUACAAGCGGUCGGAGCUCCUCGGAGUGACGGCGUGCUUUUUGCAUAAUGAGCCCGCGAGUUAGUCUCAUCGGCGAGCCUAAGGCCUACCGGGCCGGAGGCGGAGCGAAAGCGAGUCUGAAUAGGGCGCUGAGUCGAUGGGGCUAGACGCGAAACCC
rnacentral:rRNA from 1 species